UGCACUAUGGAGUACCUGCUUGCAGCGGAGGCUGAGGACCAGAGCGCAGUCGCAUGCUAGCAACAUACUUUUUCGUGUUGCUUCCUCAUCUCCAAGGCAACCUGUGAAUUGGGCAACAUUUGCACUAGGGCAGCAAGGAAUAAGCUCAGCUUCUUGGUCAUGAUGGUGCCAUGAACAAUUCUUUCACACUGGUCCAAGCACGGAGUCCUCACCACUCGUCCCACUGGCCGACCACUUCACCACUCGUCCCGCUGGCCGACCACUUCACCACUCGUCCCGCUGGCCGACCACUUCACCACUCGGCCCGCUGGGCGACCACUUCACCACUCGGCCCGCUGGCCGACCACUUCACCACUCGGCCCGCUGGCCGACCACUUCACCACUCGUCUACGAGCAGACUGCGAUCCAACUUGUAACUUUUUUGCGAUUGAAU